GGGAAAGCUUGUUUUGAGCAAGCAGCGUAGGAAAAUAAGUGGGAGGCCACCAGAGAGAAAAGAGAACAAAUAAAUGAACAACAACAACAAAAAGGGUGAAUGGAAUUGGUAGCAACAGCUGUAAUCCAAGAUACUUCAAGUCAUACGUGAAGAAAAAUCUUUUAUUUGUAAACAUUGUCAAGCCCAGGAGGAAGCAGUUACAGAUGAAAAACAGCUUUAAUUCUUGUCAGUCUCAUCAUGAAUUGUUUUUAAAUGAGAGUUGCUUUUUGUUGUUGUUG